rnacentral:rRNA from 1 species
CUACGGGACGCUCCAGUGGGGGAUAUUGCACAAUGGGCGAAAGCCUGAUGCAGCAACGCCGCGUGAAGGAUGACGGAUUUCGGUCUGUAAACUUCUAUCAGCAGGGAAGAAAAUGACGGUACCUGACUAAGAAGCCCCGGCUAACUACGUGCCAGCAGCCGCGGUAAUACGUAGGGGGCAAGCGUUAUCCGGAAUUACUGGGUGUAAAGGGUACGUAGGCGGCUGAUCAAGUCAGAUGUGAAAGCCCGGAGCUCAACUCCGGGAUUGCAUUUGAAACUGGUCGGCUAGAGUGCAGGAGGGGAAAGUGGAAUUCCUAGUGUAGCGGUGAAAUGCGUAGAUAUUAGGAAGAACACCAGUGGCGAAGGCGGCUUUCUGGACUGUAACUGACGCUGAGGUACGAAAGCGUGGGGAGCGAACAGGAUUAGAUACCCCCGUAGUC